rnacentral:rRNA from 1 species
UACGUAGGUGGCAAGCGUUGUCCGGAUUUACUGGGCGUAAAGAGCGCGCAGGCGGUCGUUCAAGUCGCGUGUGGAAGCCCCCGGCUCAACUGGGGAGGGUCACGCGAUACUGAUCGACUCGAAGGCAGGAGAGGGUAGUGGAAUUCCCGGUGUAGUGGUGAAAUGCGUAGAUAUCGGGAGGAACACCAGUGGCGAAGGCGGCACUCUGGGCCGGAACUGACGCUGAGGAGCGAAAGCGUGGGGAGCAAACAGG